GACGAACGCUGGCGGCGUGCUUAACACAUGCAAGUCGAACGGAAAGGCCUCUUUCGGGGGGUACUCGAGUGGCGAACGGGUGAGUAACACGUGAGUAACCUGCCCUUGACUUUGGGAUAACUUCAGGAAACUGGGGCUAAUACCGGAUAGGAGCUCCUGCUGCAUGGUGGGGGUUGGAAAGUUUCGGCGGUUGGGGAUGGACUCGCGGCUUAUCAGCUUGUUGGUGGGGUAGUGGCUUACCAAGGCUUUGACGGGUAGCCGGCCUGAGAGGGUGACCGGCCACAUUGGGACUGAGAUACGGCCCAGACGCCGACGGGAGGCAGCAGUGGGGAAUAUUGCACAAUGGGUGGAAGCCUGAUGCAGCAACGCCGGGUGCGGGAUGACGGCCUUCGGGUUGUAAACCGCUUUCGCUCAUGACGAAGCUUUGUGUGACGGUAGUGGGUAAAGAAGCACCGGCUAACUACGUG
rnacentral:rRNA from 1 species